GAUGAUAUAGAUUAUUAAAGGUACUUUUUUUUUUAUCCCAAAUAAAGCAUGAACUAGAAUUUAUUUAGGGGAUUAGUUGAUUGAAAUAGAUCGUAUGUUAACCUUGUGAGGCUAUGACUCAUGAUUGGGAUUUUUGUUAUUCCCUUUUUAUCUAAUUUUUAUUUUUAAAAACUAUUUGUCAUGAUAUUAGCUUAUUGAUCUCUUUUUUUGUAGGUUUUCUCUCUUUCGAAAUCAUGACAUUAGUUUAUUGAUGAUGCUUUUGUACUAAUAUUCUCGACAUUAUAUUGAUAUUUGUUUAUUGAUGAUGGGGAUUUGUUUAUAUGAAUAACAUAGGAUAUUGUUUUUGGUUGGAAUUCAAAAUAUUCGCAGGCUUGAUUAAAGUAUUGAAGAAGCCUGAAGAUAGAAUGUGUGCGACAUCAGUAUUGAAGCAGAUCGUCCUUGGCCUUGAGCAGUUGCUGCAACUGCAAGCUUUUCGUUGUGGCGGGUAAGUUUAUAUGGUUGAAGAGAAAUAUUGGAAAAAAACCCUUUUAGCAUGGAGGAUGUGUUUGUGGAUAGACAUAAAACAACCCACCUGUGAGAGGUUAUGGCGAUGCUCGGGUUCUACGUGCAGGAUAAGGUCUUGAGUUAUGGGACUGUGAAGGAAUGGUUGUUAUGUAAUUGCGGGCGCAUGCUACUCUGAUGGUCAAGAUGGAGGAUACGAGACCUUAUAUGAACGUGAUAACCAUUCUUAUUUGACACCAGCCUUUUCUGUUCAUAAAAUUGCAGCAGGGAAGAUGGCAAGUGUGUGGAGAAACAAUAGCAAAUGUAGCAAGUGGAUAUGCAAAAAUCUCUUUAGGGUGAAGUAGCUUAAACGUCUUACCGCACUACUUGUGUUUUUAGCGAUGUUAAAUUCAGGUAUAAGAGUUUACUCAAAUAGAACUCAACAACCACCAGGUGAUGAUAAUUUACUAAUGUUGCCUUGUUAUAUCUAUCUCUAAGGGUGAUCAAGAUGCUGAUUUUUUGGAAGAGGGUGAAAGAACCACUAUUGGUCAGUAACACUUUGAAUAGGCUUCUCAGUUGAACUAUUGGUUGGAAGUAAGAUGCACUCCAUUAUAUGAUCUGUUUCACAAUUUCUUGAUGUAUUUACUGAAUAAAAUCUCCAAUAAUUCACUUGUGUUUCUUUUAAGAUACAUGUAUGUAAUGUUGUUGCCUGGUUGGUUAAAUGCUCCAUCCUUUUAUGAAUUGAA